rnacentral:rRNA from 1 species
UACGUAGGGUGCAAGCGUUAAUCGGAAUUACUGGGCGUAAAGCGUGCGCAGGCGGCUUUGCAAGACAGAUGUGAAAUCCCCGGGCUUAACCUGGGAACUGCAUUUGUGACUGCAUGGCUGGAGUGCGGCAGAGGGGGAUGGAAUUCCGCGUGUAGCAGUGAAAUGCGUAGAUAUGCGGAGGAACACCGAUGGCGAAGGCAAUCCCCUGGGCCUGCACUGACGCUCAUGCACGAAAAGCGUGGGGAGCAAACAGG